rnacentral:rRNA from 1 species
GAUAAACGCUGGCGGCGCACAUAAGACAUGCAAGUCGAACGGAAGUCGUUAUACUGAUUUUGAUAAGAACGGAGAACUUGUUCAAAGGGACUUGAUGAAGAUUUAUAACAAUGGCUUUAGUGGCGGACUGGUGAGUAAUACGUAAGCAACCUGCCUAUCAGAGGGGAACAACAGUUAGAAAUGACUGCUAAUACCGCAUAUGCCAUAGUAACCACAUGGUUACAGUGGGAAAGGAGCAAUCCGCUGAUAGAUGGGCUUACGGCUGAUUAGCUAGUUGGUGGGGUAACGGCCUACCAAGGCGACGAUCAGUAGCCGGACUGAGAGGUUCAACGGCCACAUUGGGACUGAGAUACGGCCCAGACUCCUACGGGAGGCAGCAGUCGGGAAUUUUGCGCAAUGGAGGAAACUCUGACGCAGUGACGCCGCGUGCAGGAAGAAGGUUUUCGGAUUGUAAACUGCUUUAGACAGGGAAGAAAAAGGACAGUACCUGUAGAAUAAGCUCCGGCUAACUACGUGCCAGCAGCCGCAGUAAAAC